rnacentral:rRNA from 1 species
ACUCGAGUGGCGAACGGGUGAGUAACACGUGGGUGAUCUGCCCUGCACUUCGGGAUAAGCCUGGGAAACUGGGUCUAAUACCGGAUAGGAGCCAUUUUUAGUGUGAUGGUUGGAAAGUUUUUCGGUGUAGGAUGAGCUCGCGGCCUAUCAGCUUGUUGGUGGGGUAAUGGCCUACCAAGGCGGCGACGGGUAGCCGGCCUGAGGGGUGGACGGCCACAUUGGGACUGAGAUACGGCCCAG